rnacentral:rRNA from 1 species
GACGAACGCUGGCGGCGUGCUUAACACAUGCAAGUCGAGCGAGAGCCUGGAAGCUUGCUUCCAGGGGACAGCGGCGAACGGGUGCGUAACACGUGGGCAACCUGCCCCUCUCACUGGGAU